rnacentral:rRNA from 1 species
GACGAACGCUGGCGGCGUGCCUAAUACAUGCAAGUCGAGCGGACUGAAUGGGAGCUUGCUCUUGUUCGGUCAGCGGCGGACGGGUGAGUAACACGUGGGCAACCUGCCCGCAAGACCGGGAUAACUCCGGGAAACCGGAGCUAAUACCGGAUAACACCGAAGACCGCAUGGUCUUUGGUUGAAAGGCGGCGCAAGCUGCCACUUGCGGAUGGGCCCGCGGCGCAUUAGCUAGUUGGUGAGGUAACGGCUCACCAAGGCGACGAUGCGUAGCCGGCCUGAGAGGGUGACCGGCCACACUGGGACUGAGACACGGCCCAGACUCCUACGGGAGGCAGCAGUAGGGAAGCUUCCGCAAUGGGCGAAAGCCUGACGGAGCGACGCCGCGUGAGCGAAGAAGGCCUUCGGGUCGUAAAGCUCUGUUGUGAGGGACGAAGGAGCGCCGUUUGAAGAAGGCGGCGCGGUGACGGUACCUCACGAGGAAGCCCCGGCUAACUACGUG